GACGAACGCUGGCGGCGUGCCUAAUACAUGCAAGUAGAACGCACAGUUUAUACCGUAGCUUGCUACACCAUAGACUGCGAGUUGCGAACGGGUGAGUAACGCGUAGGUAACCUGCCUGGUAGCGGGGGAUAACUAUUGGAAACGAUAGCUAAUACCGCAUAAUAUUGAUUAUUGCAUGAUAAUUGAUUGAAAGAUGCUAUUGCAUCACUACCAGAUGGACCUGCGUUGUAUUAGCUAGUAGGUGAGGUAACGGCUCACCUAGGCGACGAUACAUAGCCGACCUGAGAGGGUGAUCGGCCACACUGGGACUGAGACACGGCCCAGACUCCUACGGGAGGCAGCAGUAGGGAAUCUUCGGCAAUGGACGAAAGUCUGACCGAGCAACGCCGCGUGAGUGAAGAAGGUUUUCGGAUCGUAAAGCUCUGUUGUAAGAGAAGAACGGGUGUGAGAGUGGAAAGUUCACACUGUGACGGUAUCUGACCAGAAAGGGACGGCUAACUACGUG
rnacentral:rRNA from 1 species